rnacentral:misc_RNA from 1 species
GUGAUUAUGAACGGUUGCCUUCUGUGCUGGCUGCGGCAAGUGCACGUUGGUGACUUUCAUCCAACACCCUUGUGAACCUUUGGCCUCUUGCUGGCUUCGGCUGGCAGAGGAUUUUUACACAAACUCGCAUGUAUUGAAGUCCCUUUUGUGCGCAAGCACUACUAUAUA